rnacentral:lncRNA from 1 species
UCUCGUGCAAUAUAUUGAUAAAAAGAUGAGAAGUUCAACCGCAGGGGUGAAGAAAGAUUUGACAGGACGGACGCUCACUUACAAGUGAUGUUUAUUGGAA